rnacentral:rRNA from 1 species
UACGUAGGGUGCAAGCGUUGUCCGGAAUUAUUGGGCGUAAAGAGCUCGUAGGCGGUUCGUCGCGUCGGCUGUGAAAACCCGGAGCUACAACGUCCGGGCCUGCAGUCGAUACGGGCGGACUAGAGUUCGGCAGGGGGAGGACUGGAAUUCCUGGUGUAGCGGUGGAAAUGCGCAGAUAUCAGGAGGAACACCGGUGGCGAAGGCGGGUCUCUGGGCCGAUACUGACGCUGAGGAGCGAAAGCGUGGGGAGCGAACAGG